rnacentral:rRNA from 1 species
AUGCCUAGAGAGCGGCCUUUUCGCAUGCCCGGCGGCCGUGGCGGCGGCGGCGACAUCACGGUGCACGUCGAAUACCUGGCGCGCACCCUGAUGCAGAAGCAGGAGGGCGUGGCGGCGGAGGAGCAGCACCGGGCCAUGGCGACCAGCCACCGGCUGUCCCGCGUCCCCCUCCACCUCCGCAACAACAACGCCAAGGACUACACGCCGGGGUUCGUCGCCAUCGGCCCGCUCCACAGCCGCGACGACCGGCGCCUCCGCCCCGCCGAGCGGCUCAAGGUGGCGUACCUCAACAGCCUCAUCUCCCGCGGCCACCCCGACACGGCGCAACACCUCGCCGUCAUCCAGGAGUACAUCCGCGUCGUCGCCGCCCGCGAGCAGGAGGCCCGAGCAAUGUACGUCGGGGAGGACGUCGUCGAGAUUCCCCCUGAUGAGUUCAUCCAGAUGAUGGUGCUCGACGGCUGCUUCAUCAUCGAGCACCUCAUCAACGUCGCCACGGGCCACGAGGAACCGUCGCUGCACGCCACGCCCUUCGGCCCCGCGCAGCUCUCCGUCGAUCUCGUCCUCGCCGAGAACCAGAUGCCCUUCUUCCUCCUCGUUGAUCUCAUCGCCAGAACUAAGCUGCCGGAGUUCGAGGCCACCGGCUACCCCGCGCCGGUGCUGCUCGUGAAGCUCGUGCUGUACUACCUGGCCGGCGAGAAGGGCCGCGACAUGAGCGAGGCGCUGCCGCCGGCCGAGGGGGUCUCCCACGUCCUGCACCUGCUCCACGCGAUGAUCACCGCGGCGCGGACACGGUGGGAGCCGCCGCCCCGCACCAUCCAGGACGGCGUGGUGAUAGAGACGGCACAGGAGGCGGCACGGCUGCUGCGCCGCAUCCCGCUGCUGCUGUUCGUGCCGCUGCUGUACCCGAUCCUCCCCGAGGACAAGAAGUGGAGCGCGAGCUACGGGAAGGAAGACGUGCCGUCGGCGAGCGACCUGAAGCGGAUGGGCGUGCAGUUCAAGAAGGCGCGCGCCGGCAGCGGGAGCAAGGCGCUGGCCGGCAUCGCGUCGGUGCUGGGGCCCGUGCCGCUCGCCGUGAAGCUGACGCAGCACGAGGACCGGCUCCACCUCCCCCAGCUGCGGAUCGAGUUCCGCACGGCGCCGCUGCUGCUGAACCUGAUGGCGUUCGAGCAGUCGGCGUCAGCCUCGAUGAAGACGCCGAUGGACGUGUCGGCGUACGUGUGCUUCAUGGCGAAGAUGGUGCAGUCGGCGGAGGACGCGGGGGUGCUGGCGGCGGCGGAGGUGGUGCAGCAGCACGGCGGCGCGGGCAACGAGACCAAGGAGGCCGUGGCGAGGUUUUUCCGGACGAUGGGCGUGGCGAGCGAGGCGGCGGCCGGCGGCGAGCUGCUGGUGACGAGCUACCUGUGCGUGCUGCUGGAGAAGCUGCGGGAGCGGAGCCGCCACCCGCUGUACGUCAUGUGGGCCGACGUGCAGCGGAACUACUUCACGCUGCCGUGGGCCGUCGUCAUCGAGGUCGUCGCCCUCGUCACCUUCGUCUCCACCAUGGUCCAGACCUACACCUCCGUCAAGUACCACAGCUGA